GGAGAUUUGAGCAAUAAGAAAAGCGGGUGCAAGGGGAGUAGAUUUAGAUCUUGUGCACAGUAUCCAAUCUCCUUCAACCCAAAUUUACCGGGAUGUCCGUUAAAUUUGACUUGUGGAAGAAUAUUAUUUAGUUAACCACCCGCGUGCCGCCGCCUGAGUGGCGGAGUACCGGAGAAUUAUCUCAUCUUUUUUUCUUUUUUCUUUUUUUUUAAAAAAAAUUUAUAUGUGCGUACAUUUUGGACUAGAGUGAAGGAAGAGAGUCAGUGACCGGGCGCCGCCGGUUGGACAGAAUAGGUUGCCGACUUCUGGAAAGGGCAAAGAAGAGAGGAAAGGAAAGUGGAGAGGGAAGAAGUGGGUCCCACAACCGCCUUUUCCCGAGUAAAUGUAUUUAUUUUUAUUUAUUUUUUUUGUUGGUUUAAGAUCAAAUCUAAGUGAGAGUCAGAGGAGAGAACAGAGAGAGAGAGAGAGAGAGAGUCACGCGGGAUACACAAAGUGUGAUUUGCAAUAAUUUAAGAUCGGAAAGACGAAAGACGAAGACGAAGAAGAAGAAGAAGAAGAAGAAGAAGAAGAAGACGAGGAGGAGGAAGACGAAGAAUAUAAGCAGACAAAAUCCAUUGGUUGCAGAAAUACCAGAGUUUUUUUUUUUUUCUUUUUUUUCUUUUUUUUUUAUUCUGCAAGAACAGAUAGACAAUACAACACACUCAGUUCGUUGAGUUUUUUUUCAAAUAUUCCAAUCAACGCUCUGUUUCUUCUGUUAUCCAUUAUUAAGUAAUUCCCCCUCUUCUCAUUCUUUCUUA